rnacentral:rRNA from 1 species
UACGUAGGGGGCAAGCGUUACUCGGAAUUACUGGGCGUAAAGCGCGCGUAGGUGGUUUGUUAAGUCUGUUGUGAAAGCCCCGGGCUCAACCUGGGAAUGGCAAUGGAUACUGGCAGGCUAGAGUGCGGUAGAGGGUAGUGGAAUUCCCGGUGUAGCGGUGAAAUGCGUAGAGAUCGGGAGGAACACCAGUGGCGAAGGCGGCUACCUGGACCAGCACUGACACUGAGGCACGAAAGCGUGGGGAGCAAACAGG